rnacentral:rRNA from 1 species
GACGAACGCUGGCGGCGUGCCUAAUACAUGCAAGCCGAGCGCAGGAAACUGACGGAACUCUUCGGAGGGAAGGCAGUGGAAUGAGCGGCGGACGGGUGAGUAACACGUAAGGAACCUGCCUCAAGGAUUGGGAUAACUCCGAGAAAUCGGAGCUAAUACCGGAUAGUUCAACGGACCGCAUGGUCCGCUGAGGAAAGGCGCUCCGGCGUCACCUUGAGAUGGCCUUGCGGUGCAUUAGCUAGUUGGUGGGGUAACGGCCCACCAAGGCGACGAUGCAUAGCCGACCUGAGGGGGUGAUCGGCCACACUGGGACUGAGACACGGCCCAGACUCCUACGGGAGGCAGCAGUAGGGAAUCUUCCACAAUGGACGAAAGUCUGAUGGAGCAACGCCGCGUGAGUGAUGAAGGUUUUCGGAUCGUAAAACUCUGUUGUAAGGGAAGAACACGUACGAGAGGAAAUGCUCGUACCUUGACGGUACCUUACGAGAAAGCCACGGCUAACUACGUGCCAGCCGCCGCAGUAA